CAGCCGCCGCGGUAAUACCGGCGGCCCGAGUGGCGGCCACUAUUAUUGGGCUUAAAGCGUCCGUAGCCGGGUUGGUUAGUCUCCCGGGAAAUCUGGCCGCUUAACGGUCAGAAUUCCGGGAGAUACUGCCAGCCUAGGGACCGGGAGAGGCCGAGGGUAUUCCCGGAGUAGGGGUGAAAUCCUAUAAUCCCGGGAGGACCACCUGUGGCGAAGGCGCUCGGCUGGAACGGGUCCGACGGUGAGGGACGAAGGCCAGGGGAGCAAACCGGAUUAGAUACCCGGGUAGUCCUGGCGGUAAACGAUGCGGACUUUGUGUCGGACAAGCUAUGAGCUUGUCCGGUGCCGGAGGGAAACCGUUAAGUCCGCCGCCUGGGGAGUACGGCCGCAAGGCUGAAACUUAAGGAAUUGGCGGG
rnacentral:rRNA from 1 species